rnacentral:lncRNA from 1 species
AACAUAUCGCUCACCGUCUAUACCCAAUCAUGAAUCAACAACACGCAUUCCAAUGGACAAUCAUACACAAAGCAAACAAACUAUAAUUAGAACAUUACACAAACAGUGAGAAAUCAAAGAUAAAAGUUUAUAAAAAUAUUCUACGCAGCGCUACGAUCACACAAACGUAAAGUUCACGGAAAUCAGAAUUAAAACGUAGAAGUUAUGAAUUUAAUAUACAAAACAAAAUAGAAUACAAACGAAUAAACAUCAAGGAUUAAAGCCGUAGAAAAUAUAAAAAAAUAGAUACCUACUGUACUCGUCAAAUGAGUCUGUUGUCCUUUGGCCACUCACGUACAAAAGUGGAUGAUUUGCUUGUACGACUCACCAACAGAGCUAGCUGAUAUCAGUUUGAUUUUUUUUGUGAUGAUGGUCACCAGGACAGCAAGCACGACUGGCAUCAAACGUCUGACCCUGGUCUUUGUUUGUUUUCAGAAUUGCAGGCAACUGACGAACUUGCUUGUGUACAGUACAGAAGAUAGCACCAGCA